rnacentral:rRNA from 1 species
GAUCUAGUUGGAUGGUCUGCCUCACGGUGUGUACUGUCUGACUGGAUCUUACCUCUUGGUGAACCGGCGUGCCCUUUAUUGGUGUGCGUUGGGGAACCGGGACUUUUACCUUGAGAAAAUUAGAGUGUUCAAAGCAGGCAUAUGCCUAAAUACAUUAGCAUGGAAUAAUAAAAUAGGACG